rnacentral:snRNA from 1 species
GUGCAGCACAUAUACUAAACUUGGAACAAUACAGAGAUUAGCAAGUCCCCUGUGCAAGGAUGACAUGUAAAUUCGUGAGGUGAUCCAUUAAAAA